AUGACAAACACAAAGGGAAAGAGGAGAGCCACCCGAUAUAUGUUCUCUAGGCCUUUUAGAAAACAUGGAGCUGUUCCUUUGGCGACGUAUAUGCGAAUCUAUAAGAAAGGUGAUAUUGUAGACAUCAAGGGAAUGGGUACUGUUCAAAAAGGAAUGCCCCACAAGUGUUACCAUGGCAAAACUGGAAGAGUCUACAAUGUUACCCAGCAUGCUGUUGGCAUUGUUGUAAACAAACAAGUUAAGGGCAAGAUUCUUGCCAAGAGAAUUAAUGUGCGUAUUGAGCACAUUUAGCACUCUAAGAGCCGAGAUAGCUUCCUGAAAUGCAUGAAGGAAAAUGAUCAGAAAAAGAAAGAAGCCAAAGAGAAAGGUACCUGGGUUCAACUAAAGUUCCAGCCUGCUCCACCCAGAGAAGCACACUUUGUGAGAACCAAUGGGAAGGAGCCUGAGCUGCUGGAACUUAUUCCCUAUGAAUUCAUGGCAUAA
rnacentral:lncRNA from 10 species